GACGGAGGGUGCAAGCGUUGUUCGGAAUUACUGGGCGUAAAGCGCGGGCAGGUGGUCUUUUAAGUCCCUUGUGAAAUCCCGGGGCUCAACUCCGGAUGUGCGUGGGAUACUGGAAGACUGGAGACUGGUAGAGGCGAGCGGAAUUCCUGGUGUAGCGGUGGAAUGCGUAGAUAUCAGGAAGAACACCGGUGGCGAAGGCGGCUCGCUGGGCCAGUUCUGACACUCAUCCGCGAAAGCGUGGGGAGCAAACAGGAUUAGAAACCCCUGUAGUCC
rnacentral:rRNA from 1 species